ensembl:lncRNA
GCUCCCCCGUCCCCGGGAUUCUCCAGGCAAGAAUACUGGAGUGGGUUGCCAUUUCCUUCUCCAAUGCGUGAAAGUGAAGUCGCUCAGUCGUGUCUGACCCUCAGCGAUCCCAUGGACUGCAGCCCACCAGGCUCCUCCAUCCAUGGGAUUUUCCAGAUUUACCUUCGUGGACUCCCCGGAUAUCUCAAGGAAGCUGGUGGGACCAUUCCACGCAUUUUCUCUUUGAACCGAGAAGUUAUAUUUAGUCCAAAUGAGAUGGCACAGUUGCUGGAGGCAGAGUGGGGCUGGAUGAGUGAGUGGGGAUAUUCUGAAGAUCAUUCUGUAAAGCUGGCCUUAAACCUGAAGUUACCCCUGCUGACCCCUGGCGCUUACUUGGGAACAUUUGAAGGACGCUCCAUUCAGGGCCUGAACCCAGGCAUGAGAACAGAGGAAAAGAGAAAAUAAACCCCAACUUUAUCACUUCAGACUUGGAACUCAGAAAAACUUUGACUCCAGUUUGGGAUGAAGUCAGAAUGGAUUCUUUUGCUCAUAUCUGCACAACCUUCUUUCAAAGAAGAGGGGGGGGGGGAAAAAGUCCAUUUGUAUCUUUUUUUUCAGAUUCUGCAAAUAAACGUUAUCAUGUGCUAUCUGUCUCUCUCUGUCUGACUUACUUCACUUAUGAUAAUCUCCAGGUUCAUUCCUGUUGCAGCAAAUGGUGGU